CUGUCGAUGCCCCACCUCCACCUCAUCUCUCUGGCUCCCGUCGGCGCCCAACUCCCACCUUCUCCCCCGUCUCCGGCCGCCCCCCAUCCCCACCUUCUUCUCCUGUCUCAGGCCACCGCCCAACCCCCACCUUCUCCACCAUCUCUGGCCGCCGCCCCAUCCCCACCUUCUUCCCUGUCUCAGGCCACCGCCCAACCCCCACCUUCUCCACCAUCUCCGGUCGCCGCCCCAUCCCCACCUUCUUCCCCAAAUCCGCCCGCCGCCCCGCCUCCACCAUCUUCGGGCCUCAGGAAGCCGCAUGUGCCCGCCCCCCGGACAUGGCGCCCGCGGCCAACCUCCUGGAUCUCGCCCAUGGUUGCAGGGGCCCGGCGCGGCGGGGAAGUGUGGAGGCGCAAGAUGCUCCACGACCGAGGUAGGCGCACCCCGGUGCUCGCCAUGGCUGAAGACGGCCUCCAACCCGUGGGCCCAAAGCAGCCAAUCUUGCCGCUUCACCUAGGUGCGCCCUAGCCGAUCACAGCCACUGCCGCAGGCCGUUCAACGCCACCUCCGCAGGCCGUUCAUCCCAAAAAAACAAUCUGGAUCCUGCUGGUUCCCACCAGCAACGCUCGUUCGAGCAUGUUGUCGCUCUCCUGCUGCAGCGUGGCUCAGCUACUGCACUUGGUGGAGUACAUGAAUUGGACUGACGAGAAGAUGGAUUCUUGGUAUAUAAAAGCCUGCUAGAGGAGUCACAGGGUUGAGGACCUCCUGCUUAACAGUACAACUUCUUGUUUUGUGGCCGGUCACUCAAGGAGCUGAGUGCAGGCCGCAGUAAGUACAUGAGUACUAAUAUUAGGAUAUGUGUGGUCCCAGUAAGUAUAUGAGUACUAAUUAGCAAGUUUGAUGAAAAUCUCAGCUUGUACUGAUACAUUCCAAAAAAGUGUUGUGUGUUUUCAGGAAAAAACAACUGAUGUCGUCGGCCGUUCUUUGCCAUCUACUAAAGCAACAGGAGGGUGAGGAUCUUCAUCUCGUCAGUACAACUACACCAUCCACCGCCGUUCAUGAGAAGAGCUACGUGCAGGCCACUCCGUGCUCUGCCUUGGAUUUUUCAAUGAUCAGGUUGUCAUCGUCCUACCCCACGACAAUCGUACUGGUUCAUGCGCCAUUGUCGUCGGUCUUUCUUCGGCUGGAUAUAGGGAGUGGCCCCAGGGAGCCCCUUCAUCAGUGGUUCAUUGGUCUCUCAAGUAUGAAGGUGCAUCUAAUGAAGUGCAGGUCACUUCUGAUGUGCCAAAUGGCGCGUGUGUGCGUGUUGUGGGCUUGUCGUGUGCGUCCGCUAGUGCAUGCAUGGGUGCCUCCUGUGGCAUGCGAGCAUGUGUGCUGAUGUUGAUACCUAAACUAAAUGGUUUCCAAGAUAUGUACUGCAAGGAAAAAUUCAUCAGUACUAGUGUGCCCUUUAUGCGGAGGUUUGAAGAUCAUCGUGGAGCAAGUUGAAGAGAUUAGUUUCGUGGAAAUAAAUGUGAUCUUUUGGUCAGGAUUUUGCAUGAUCCAUAGCCAUCGGUGGCAACAGGCGAGCAGUUCAAGGCCUACUGCGUGAGUCGUCCAUUGUCUUCUAUGCGUGAGCUUGUUGUCUCUACACAUAUAGCAUCAGAGUAUCUCCUCCCCUUGCCGCACACACAUGACGGGCGGUCAAGCUAGUGUUGUUUGCGAUUACUGGUCAUGACUCUUACGUUGUCAUUGGACAAAGAAUUUCAUUUUCCUUAACACUCGGUAAGGAAAAUGAUCGUUCAACUUGAAUUAUGUUUUGGACUGAUUGUUCAAGUUCUUUCGUAUAGAAGAUUCAGAAAGUUUUGUUCCUGAAAAUGCACUUAUUUGGAGUAUGCCAAUAUAUAUGUAUUUCUGAAUUUCGCUCUUGAAUAACAGUUCAACAUGUAUUACGCCAUCAAUUCAUAAUGGAAAGGCAGCAAACAGUUCGAUA